UGCGGCUGCGGGACACUUUAUCGGCCCGUGAAAUCAAACACUCCGCCUAAUUCUGCUGCGGAUCUGAUUUCAGAAAUUUUUUUUCCUCAAAAUAACAAAGGGUUGCAGUGACAAUGUUCGCAAUUAAAGGGGAGAAAAUAAUGCUCCUCCUUCCCCGUUUCCCUUUCUCGAAAAACCAAACCAAGUUUGUUUUGGUUUUUCCCUCUUCCAAAUACAGCCCGCGGCAAUUUUUUCAUAUUUGCUCUGCGGCAUAAAGGGUGAAAAUUUAAUUCGGUCGGCUGCUCCUCCCCCUGCCGCUUUUUCACUCUUGCCGUUUUCGAUUCACUGACCCGAGCCUUUGAAUUCAAUUUUAUUUUUGCGUUCGUCACAGCCGUUUUUUAUCCAUUCUCAUUAAAAAAGUCUCGUCACCUCGCCAAUUUCGCACGCGACAUCAGUCAAUACACUUCCCUCCGUCGCCAUGUAUAAUUUAAACUUGUCAAGUGCGUUUUUUUACCGGCGAAAGCAGCAGGGGCUGAUGAGAAAGAAAAAGAAUGAAAAAUGCUUUUCCUCUUUGCGUUGUAAAUUCAAAAAGAGCAAAAGCUCGCAUGAGAGAGGAGGAGCAGAAAAAACGGAAAAAUGAACCCCAGUGCAAACUUUUUCCUGCGAUGCUCUUAUUAUUAAUCUUCAUCCGCGCCGGAACGGAGGGCAAAAACAAAACACGCCCCGCAGGAGAGAUUUUAUAAAUAUGAACACGUGCUGCACACACACGAGAGAUGCAUAAUAUUGAUUGCACCCUGCCGUGAUUCAUCAUCUCUCUCCUUUGUUUUAUCAGGGAAAUGAGAAGCAAUUUUUCUUGAUUCCCGGCACUUCUUCUCGCCUCCGGAUGAUGAGAAAAAGAAAAUUACAAAGACUCUGAAAUGAUGAAAAAGUGAGAAGAAAAUAGCUUUUGCAGGAAAUUGUGACCUGAUUAGGCUAGGAAAGCAUAGUAUAUUAUUUUUUUACCUGUUGGCCAGAAAAUAGAUGUCUAGUUUAAGCUUAAAUAUACAGUAUAUAGCAUAAUAUAUUUGUGAUUUUUUUUUUUAAUAAAUUUUUAAGUGUGCUACUGGUUUUAUUUAGACUGAAUUAAAAGUUUCUUUUGGUAUUCAAUAUAAAAAGCGCAUUUUUCUUAUUUCAAUUUUAAAAAGUACAUCAGAUAUAAUGGAAUCUGUGAAUUUGCAUUGAAUUAGUCUCAGAUUAACUCUUUUUAUUGACAAUUUUAGGCCUCUUAAAACAAAUUCAAGUGCAAAUCAUUAUCAACAUCUUCCACCCAAGCUUUAUAUAUUAAAUACAAAUUUUAUUUCAAACUAGAAUAUUGUUCUGUAAAUAAAAACAAAAAUUAUAAUUAAAACCUUUUUCAUUUAUUAAAAAAAACACUGCUCUUUAAAGAGGUUCGCCGAGUAGUGCAUUUUAAAUUUGCGGCGGGUUUUAACAGGCAUUAAAAUAAAAUGUAUGUAUGUCCCGGCGAAAAAUUAUUGCCCGGCGCGCGAGGAGAGAAUUUUUUUGUAAAUGGCUCAUCGCGCCAAAACUCAGUGAACCUUUUGGGGCAACUCCCACUUCGGCCACGUUCAGCCAAUCAGGAAGAGCCGAGCAAGUGGUAGUGCUUGGCAGGCCGCUGGCAGCGCUGCGGGCGCUGCGGCGACCCUGGCCGGCCGGUCAAAUAACAAUAUGGCGACGCGUUUAUCUGAAAUCGAGUUUUCGACGACAAUUUCGGCUGUGUCGGCGGCUAAGCAGACCGUUCGGCCAAUAUGAAGACGUCUGACGUCGGCCAGAAAUUCUUUCCGCGAGUCGUGCUCUCCGCAACGCGUAUUAAUCUUAGCAGGUAACCGAAAAAUGGCCAGAGCGAGAGACUCUCCGAAGUCUCCGACACUGACGGACUGCUCGUAACGAGCUCGGGAAAUUUCUUCCCUUCCUUGGGACAAGAUCAAUCUGGGACGCAACCUUAUUUUUGACGCAGUUUGCAGUGAGCUGCUUUUGAUUUGCAUAGGAGUUCUCCAGUGCAGCGCUUGGAAAUGGACCGACAGACACAACCUUGAAAAAUCAGCCUGAUGUUGAAAUCUGCGACACCACCUCAGCCUCCUUGACCAGCUGAUGUGCAAAGAGAGGAGAACACCAUCAGCUGUCAAUGUGCACAUCAAGAUUAGAACUAUAAUUUGGGGGCUUUUGUUUCUGUAGGAUCAUGCAUAGCACACAGGGUUAUUGUGUACAAAUCGUAAUUGUAAAUAAUUUUAUUGCAUACGAGCCUUGAUGUAAUAUUGUUUUUUUGUAUGAGUUUCUUUUCUAGUUGGAGUUCAUGCAUCUCCAAGAGAAUCUUGUGUAUUUUGAAUUUACUUGUUAUUUAUAAAAAUGAUAUUGAAAUCUCACCUGCAUUGUUUAUUACACUAAAAAUAUAAUUUUUAUUUACGUUUAUUGUGCUCAAGUCAUAAAAAAAAAGAAAAAGAAAAUAAGCAGAAACAUCUUUCGGAGGUCUACUGAAAUGACAUAAUCUAAAGUCAUGUGUGUUUUGGCGACACAUAAUAUAUAAAAUUUUUGAAAAUAAGAACAAAUUUUUCCAUAAAAUGGGGAAUUUAUAUUCAGUAUAAUAUACAGUCACAUUAUGUAAAUAAAUUAAUGUUAUUAUAAACAAUAUUUAUUCAUCAAGGCUCGUAUGCAAUAAAAUUAUUUACAAUUACGAUUUGUACACAAUAACCCUGUGUGCUAUGCAUGAUCCUACAGAAACAAAAGCCCCCAAAUUAUAGUUCUAAUCUUGAUGUGCACAUUGACAGCUGAUGGUGUUCUCCUCUCUUUGCACAUCAGCUGGUCAAGGAGGCUGAGGUGGUGUCGCAGAUUUCAACAUCAGGCUGAUUUUUCAAGGUUGUGUCUGUCGGUCCAUUUCCAAGCGCUGCACUGGAGAACUGCAAAUGGCAAUGAAGUUUUAGAUAAAGGAAAAAAUAUCUAAUAUUAUAAAUACAUAACUUCAUAAUGCUUGAUUUUCAAAAAUAAAAAGAAGACAAAUUUUUGAAUAAUAUUUUUCGCCCAAUUUUUCAAUAAUCCUAAGUUAGCUCACCUCCUAUGCAAAUCAAAAGCAGCUCACUGCAAACUGCGUCAAAAAUAAGGUUGCGUCCCAGAUUGAUCUUGU